CCUAAAUUAACAACUCAUGCAGAUACCAUGAAAGGCGUUGCUUGCUUAAAACAGCAGGACGGUGGACAUGGAAGUCGUAAUCCGCUAAGGAGUGUGUAACAACUCACCUGCCGAAGCAACUAGCCCUUAAAAUGGAUGGCGCUUAAGUUGUAUACCUAUACGUCACUGUUAAUGUAAAUGAUUCAUGUGCCCUUCAUGUGAAUUUAGAAACAUUAACAAGUAGGUGGGUACAAUGGUAUG
rnacentral:ncRNA from 1 species